AAAUUGAAGAGUUUGAUCAUGGCUCAGAUUGAACGCUGGCGGCAGGCCUAACACAUGCAAGUCGAGCGGUAGCACAGAAGAGCUUGCUCUUUGGGUGACGAGCGGCGGACGGGUGAGUAAUGUCUGGGAAACUGCCUGAUGGAGGGGGGAUAACUACUGGAAACGGUAGCUAAUACCGCAUAACCUCGCAAGAGCAAAGAGGGGGGACCUUAGGGCCUCUCGCCAUCAGAUGUGCCCAGAUGGGAUUAGCUAGUAGGUGAGGUAAUGGCUCACCUAGGCGACGAUCCCUAGCUGGUCUGAGAGGAUGACCAGCCACACUGGAACUGAGACACGGUCCAGACUCCUACGGGAGGCAGCAGUGGGGGAAUAUUGCACAAUGGGCGCAAGCCUGAUGCAGCCAUGCCGCGUGUGUGAAGAAGGCCUUCGGGUUGUAAAGCACUUUCAGCGGGGAGGAAGGCAGUAAGGUUAAUAACCUUAUUGAUUGACGUUACCCGCAGAAGAAGCACCGGCUAACUCCGUGCCAGCAGCCGCGGUAAUACGGAGGGUGCAAGCGUUAAUCGGAAUGACUGGGCGUAAAGCGCACGCAGGCGGUCUGUUAAGUUGGAUGUGAAAUCCCCGGGCUUAACCUGGGAACUGCAUUCAAAACUGACAGGCUAGAGUCUUGUAGAGGGGGGUAGAAUUCCAGGUGUAGCGGUGAAAUGCGUAGAGAUCUGGAGGAAUACCGGUGGCGAAGGCGGCCCCCUGGACAAAGACUGACGCUCAGGUGCGAAAGCGUGGGGAGCAAACAGGAUUAGAUACCCUGGUAGUCCACGCUGUAAACGAUGUCGAUUUGGAGGUUGUGCCCUUGAGGCGUGGCUUCCGGAGCUAACGCGUUAAAUCGACCGCCUGGGGAGUACGGCCGCAAGGUUAAAACUCAAAUGAAUUGACGGGGGCCCGCACAAGCGGUGGAGCAUGUGGUUUAAUUCGAUGCAACGCGAAGAACCUUACCUACUCUUGACAUCCACAGAAUUCGGCAGAGAUGCCUUAGUGCCUUCGGGAACUGUGAGACAGGUGCUGCAUGGCUGUCGUCAGCUCGUGUUGUGAAAUGUUGGGUUAAGUCCCGCAACGAGCGCAACCCUUAUCCUUUGUUGCCAGCGAUUCGGUCGGGAACUCAAAGGAGACUGCCGGUGAUAAACCGGAGGAAGGUGGGGAUGACGUCAAGUCAUCAUGGCCCUUACGAGUAGGGCUACACACGUGCUACAAUGGCGUAUACAAAGAGAAGCGACCUCGCGAGAGCAAGCGGACCUCAUAAAGUACGUCGUAGUCCGGAUUGGAGUCUGCAACUCGACUCCAUGAAGUCGGAAUCGCUAGUAAUCGUAGAUCAGAAUGCUACGGUGAAUACGUUCCCGGGCCUUGUACACACCGCCCGUCACACCAUGGGAGUGGGUUGCAAAAGAAGUAGGUAGCUUAACCUUCGGGAGGGCGCUUACCACUUUGUGAUUCAUGACUGGGGUGAAGUCGUAACAAGGUAACCGUAGGGGAACCUGCGGUUGGAUCACCUCCUUACCAAGAAG
rnacentral:rRNA from 1 species